rnacentral:rRNA from 1 species
GAUGAACGCUAGCUACAGGCUUAACACAUGCAAGUCGAGGGGAAACGACAUCGAAAGCUUGCUUUUGAUGGGCGUCGACCGGCGCACGGGUGAGUAACGCGUAUCCAACCUGCCCAUCACUUGGGAAUAACCUUGCGAAAGUAAGACUAAUACCCAAUGAUAUCCCACGAAGGCAUCGGAAGGGGAUUAAAGAUGUAUCGGUGAUGGAUGGGGAUGCGUCUGAUUGACUUGUUGGCGGGGAAACUGCCCACCAAGGCAACGAUCAGUAGGGGUUCUGAGAGGAGCGUCCCCCACAUUGGAACUGGGACACGGUCCAAUCUCCUACGGGAGGCAGCAGUGCGGAAUGUUGGUCAAUGGGCGAGAGCCUGAUCCGGCCAAGUAGCGUGCAGGAAGGCCGCCCUAUGGGUUGUAAACUGCUUUUAUAAGAGAAUAAAGUGGGUCACGUGUGACUUUUUGCAUGUACCUUAUGAAUAAGGACCGGCUAAUUCCGUG